GCGGAAAUCUUGCAAGUGGAUCGUAAAGAUGCUCAUAUCAAUUUGGAGUUCUGCCUCCAAGCCAGAAUUGCAGGAAUGCACCACGUGUUGGCUGUUUCACUGCCCUCUGUGCCCCACUUUCAGCCCUAUUGUCAGGAGCAUAUAAAUGGACACAUUAAAAAUGCUUUGCCUUUCAAAGACAAAAUGAUAUGCCGGUGCACUUUCACUGCCCUGUCUGUAACAUGACAGUCAUACAGCGUGGGGAUAUGGCAAGGCAAUUUUUCUCAUGUCAGCGUUUAGGACUGCUCCCCGCUGAACUCUCCGUGGAGCCACAUCUCCCUCUCGAUGUCUUGUCUCCAGUAUCUAAACCAUUUUCUGAAUCUUCAGUAGAACAUUCAUGUGCUCUACCCUCUGUGCUAAAUGAAACUGUGGCUUGUGGAAAGUCCUUGAAAAUGAAACGCCC
ensembl:lncRNA